CCUACGGGACGCAGCAGUGGGGAAUAUUGGGCAAUGGGCGCAAGCCUGACCAAGCAACGCCGCGUGAAGGAAGAAGGCUUUCGGGUUGUAAACUUCUUUUCUUGGGGACGAAGAAAGUGACGGUACCCAAGGAAUAAGCCACGGCUAACUACGUGCCAGCAGCCGCGGUAAUACGUAGGUGGCAAGCGUUAUCAGGAUUUAUUGGGUGUAAAGGGCGUGUAGGAGGGGAUGCAAGUCAGAUGUGGAAAACACGGGCUCAA
rnacentral:rRNA from 1 species